CAGUCGCCGCGGUAAUACGUAGGUGGCAAGCGUUGUCCGGAAUUAUUGGGCGUAAAGCGCGCGCAGGCGGUUUCUUAAGUCUGAUGUGAAAGCCCCCGGCUUAACCGGGGAGGGUCAUUGGAAACUGGGAGACUUAGCGUGCAGAAGAGGAGAGUGGAAUUCCAUGUGUAGCGGUGAAAUGCGUAGAUAUAUGGAGGAACACCAGUAGCGAAGGCGACUCUCUGGUCUGUGACUGACGCUGAGGCGCGAAAGCGUGGGGAGCAAACAGGAUUAGAUACCCCUGUAGUCCCUGUCUCUUAUU
rnacentral:rRNA from 1 species